rnacentral:rRNA from 1 species
UACGUAGGGGGCAAGCGUUGUCCGGAUUUAUUGGGCGUAAAGAGCUCGUAGGUGGUUCGGUAAGUCGGAUGUGAAAUCUCCAAGCUCAACUUGGAAACUGCAUUGGAAACUACCUUGCUAGAGGAUUUGAGGGGGGAUUGGAAUACUUGGUGUAGCAGUGAAAUGCGUAGAUAUCUGGAGGAACACCGGUGGCGAAGGCGGCAUCCUGGACCAACACGUGACGCUGAGGAGCGAAAGCCAGGGGAGCAAACGGG